AUAGCCGCGAUGUCCGAAUGGGAACCCAGUGCGAUGCGUCGCACUAUCAUUAACUGAAUCCAUAGGUUAAUGAGGCGAACCGGGGGAACUGAAACAUCUCAGUACCCCGAGGAAAAGAAAUCAACCGAGAUUCCCCCAGUAGCGGCGAGCGAACGGGGAGCAGCCCAGAACCAGCAUCAGCCAUAGCAUCAGAGGAACGGUCUGGAAAGGCCGGCGAGAGAGGGUGACAGCCCCGUACUCGAAGGUGGCAUGGCUGUGAGUUCGACGAGUAAGGCGGGACACGAGAAAUCCUGUCUGAAGAUGGGGGGACCAUCCUCCAAGGCUAAAUACUCCUGACUGACCGAUAGUGAACCAGUACCGUGAGGGAAAGGCGAAAAGAACCCCGGCGAGGGGAGUGAAAGAGAACCUGAAACCGUGUACGUACAAGCAGUGGGAGCCCCACCACCAAAGCGUUUCGCUUUGCGUGGCGCACAAAAUGCGUAACGUCAUCUCAGAUGACGGUUGGCGGAGCGGCAGCGACGCCCAACACACUAAUCAAGCAGUGGAGCGUUUUGGGGUGGGGUGACUGCGUACCUUUUGUAUAAUGGGUCAGCGACUUAUAUUCUGUAGCAAGGUUAACCGUAUAGGGGAGCCGCAGGGAAACCGAGUCUUAACUGGGCGAAUGAGUUGCAGGGUAUAGACCCGAAACCCGGUGAGCUAGCCAUGGGCAGGUUGAAGGUUGGGUAACACUAACUGGAGGACCGAACCGACUAAUGUUGAAAAAUUAGCGGAU
rnacentral:rRNA from 1 species